ACAUGUGGGUGCUCUGUCAGGAG
rnacentral:piRNA from 1 species